GACGAACGCUGGCGGCGUGCCUAAUACAUGCAAGUAGGACGCGUUGCGAACGGGUGAGUAACGCGUGGUAACCUACCUAUUAGAGGGGGAUAACUAUUGGAAACGAUAGCUAAUACCGCAUACUAGUCGAUGGACCUGCGUUGUAUUAGCUAGUAGGUAGGGUAAUGGCCUACCUAGGCAACGAUACAUAGCCGACCUGAGAGGGCGACCGGCCACAGUGGGACUGAGAGACGGCCCAGACUCCUACGUGAGGCAGCAGUGGGGAAUAUUGCACAAUGGGCGAAAGCCUGAUGCAGCCAUGCCGCGUGGAUGAAGAAGGCCUUCGGGUUGUAAAGUACUUUCAGCGGGGAGGCGUUACCCGCAGAAGAAGCACCGGCUAACUCCGUGCCAGCAGCCGCGGUAAUAC
rnacentral:rRNA from 1 species